rnacentral:rRNA from 1 species
CACGUAGGGUGCGAGCGUUAUCCGGAAUUAUUGGGCGUAAAGAGCUCGUAGGCGGUGUGUCGCGUCGGCCGUGAAAACCUGCAGCUUAACUGUGGGCUUGCGGUCGAUACGGGCAUCACUGGAGUUCGGGCAGGGGAGACUGGAAUUCCUGGUGUAGCGGUGAAAUGCGCAGAUAUCAGGAGGGAACACCCGGUGGGCGAAGGCGGGUCUCUGGGCC